rnacentral:rRNA from 1 species
AUGUCCCCGACGAUGAUGCCCCCUGGGCGAAAGGAAAGGGGCCGCCAUUCUCUUUCUUUCCUCAAUCAUUCUGAUCAUUUAUCUCAUUCCCUUUUGUUUGUUUUUUCGGGUUGGUUCGGUGACUCUGAUACCAUGAUAUCAUUGGUCGAAGAAUUCCUUGCCUCGCGGGACACGUAA